CAGCAUUGCUCUUUUGUUUAACUGGCGUCCUGCUGAGGGUCUUCUCUUGUCUUUUAGAAAGAAAUCUUGCCUACACAAGAAAAUGUGGAGCUCAUUAAAAACCCAGAUUGUGAAACUUCUUUCAGAAGGAAAUGCGUCUGUGCUAUAACCCAAGAGGUUCUGAGGAAUCUCUUCCUUGUCUUCUGAAAGUUCUGGAAUUGGGGAAUCCUGUGGCCCUUAGGACUCUGUCCUGCCUCUCCCCACUCCUUGACCAGUGCUCCUCCCUCACCCCUCGUUUCUCUCCCGAGUCCGGACGGUCCCCAGGUGUGAGGGAGACCGAGAUGAGGAGGAACAGUGAGCGACACACCCCAAAAGGUCAACCGGCACGCCGUCCUGCUGGUGCUCUUGAGACGACCACCAGCAGGUGCAUCCAUCGCCAGCUGAUACCAUGACCCCUUACCUCUGCGCCAGCCACCGUCACAGUAAGUUGAGCUGAAACAUCGGGAUGCUUUUGCCUGUAAGUACCAGAAACCUCAUUUGAACUGGCUCAAAGAUGGGAACGUACUGGUGGAUGGAGGUGAAAAGUCCGGGGUGUCGUGUUGGAUCCAGGGGCUCAACGCUUAAUCUCAGCUCCCUGCUCGUGUUUUCUACCUCAGUUCUUUCUGUGUUGGAUGGAUGUUUCCCUCCUGGUGACAAGAUGGCUGCCAGCACCUGCAAGCUCCCCUCUGGUCCUCUCAGCAGCUCCAUGGAAGGAAUUCAGAGUCCCAGGACUGAAUCUCAUUGGCUCCCACGGGGCCAGGCUUGGCUCACAGCGCCGUGUCCCCAACCAAUCAUUGUAGUCUAGGUUGUGUUAAUUUCCUUCAGCUGCUAUAAUUAAUUAUGACACACUCAAUGGCUUAAAACCACACAAAUGUAUUAUAAUUCUGGAGGUCUGCCUAUCUUAAAAGUGAUGUGAUGCUCUGGUCAGUCCACAGACAUAACCCUGGCCCUGGAGCCCCACACAAGCUACACAAACUGUGGGGAGAGGUGGUUUCUCAAGGGAAGAUAUAGUCCAGACCUGAGGGAACAGGAUAUGGAAGGGGUAGCCAUGGAAAACACAGGAGGAACUCUGGAGUUCUUUUAAACAGUUUUUGCUAGACUCAUUGUUAGAUUCUUUUUUUUUUUUCUUUUUCUUUUUUUUUUUUUUUUUUUUUUUUUUUUUUUUUUUGAGGUGAGGGGGAUCAAACCAAUUUCUUUUAGCCCUUCAACACAUGUAAUUGGCAGGGCUGAAGUUUGGAAUACAUUGUGAUAAUUUUAUUUCAUUGGGAACUUUAUAUACAAUUUAUGUCACUCAAAGCAGGGAAUUUGGAGCCUCAUACCUCCUGCAGUGCAUCUCACAAUGAGCCUCAUGCUGACGAGGAGGCGCACAACUAGGACUUGGAUAACAUAGAAAAGCACUUAAUUAUCUGGUUUCUGAGCAAGUCCAGGGUUCUGCUGGGUAGGUUGGGUGGGAGGAAGAAACUCCAGGACAAUGGAAUAGUACGUAAUGUAUUAUGUUACUCUCACUUAAAUCCUCUAAAUUUAAAAGAAAACAAUCUUCAAAAGAGUCACAAAGCACAUGAAGAGGCAACUUGAGGCGAUGCUUAUCCAGAUACAUCACAAUAUUCUUAGCGGUUGGAUUUUGAUUCAAAAGUGAAGUGAGAGGUACAGUCUUAAAGAUACAGCCGCACAUCUGCCAGCUUGGAAGAGGUGGCUGGAAAGUCCACAGAAUGACCCUGCCACGCACUUGGCCAAGGCCCACGACCGGCCCGAGAAAUCACUCCGCUGUGGGGUGCAUUUGAUGGCAGAGGCGGCGAAAGGUGAUCAUGGAGGGUUGGCAGACCCUGGAGGAGGAGAGAGGCCACUCAGUGUCUGCUGCAGAGGAGACAGGGUCCUUCAGGCGACCUUGCAUCAGAGAGCGUGGGAACAAGGAAGCUAGACAGAUGGAGAGGUGAGCGCUCAUCAGUGGUACACAGGAGAAAACAAGUAUCAUUACUGACCCCAGGUGUGCGUUUGAGAGGCAGCUGCCUAGUGGUUAUGAACCCUGCCCCUGGAACUGGAUAAUACUGAAUCUGAAUCCUGGCUUUGUCACUUUAAUAGCUGUGUGACCAUGGACCAGUCAUUGUGACCUUUUUGAGCCUCUAACCAUUAACCUUUCUUCAUCGGGAAAAUGAGAGUAAUGAUAGCUCAGGGUUUUUUGAGUUGUUACAAGGGCAAAACCCUCACCAUUGGCUCACGGUCGAAUCAAGUGAACUGUUCCCUUUGCAUGCUGUGUAGCCUGAAGCCCACAAGGGCUGGUACUGUUCUAGCCAGGAUUUUUUUUUUCCAUUGCAAAUGACAGAAUCCCAAGUAAGCUUAAACAAAAAAGAAAUUAUGAGCUAUUACAAAUGCAAAGUGUAGGGAAAGCAUGGAUUUCAGGCCCAGAUGGAUCCAGGGGCUAGAAAGAGAACACCAACCCAGUCUCUCCAGCUCUUGAGUCCACAUUGCUCCAUACUGGGUCCAUUCUCACAGGGUCUUUCUUCGUGGUGGCAAGGUGGCUACCAGUAGCUUCAGAUUCAUUUCCUUUCUUCUCCACAGUCCCAGGGAAUACAUUCUCAAGCAUUUUAGCUAAAGUUCUGAGACUGACUUGCUGGUCCAGCCUUGCCCAGCCCUGAACUGAUGGCUGUAGCCAAACAGACAGGAUCUCUGGAUUGGCCAGAUCUCAGUCACAAGUCACUACCUUCGAGUCCUAGACCCACUGACCAUGUGGACAAAGGAUGGGUGGGUCCUAAAAGAAGAACCAAAGUGCUGUGACCAAAAGGCAGGGAGGGGAUGCUGGGUGGAAAAAAGUAACCAAUAUUUCCCACAGGAACCUUCAAAGUCAUGACUAAGGCAUCAAUCAAUGCACCAUUAAGUGGCCAAACAAUCCAACAGAAACAGGACUCCCAGACCACUCCUGAUUUUCUCAGGUCCUCCUUUCUCCACAUACCAAACAGCUGGAUCAAACCACAAGAGCCCAGAGAGAAAGCCCUUGGAUUUCCCAAGGCAGCAUCAAUGAUGUGGAGAGGGGCAUUGUCCUGUGCCUUUUCCUUAUUAUAGGACAAGUGAUUUGGAUUUCCAGAGUUCCUCUGUACCUUCAAUUUGACAAAACAUAUAUAUGUGUUUUAUUAAUUUCCACAGAUUUUUUUAAGAGUAAUUUUCAAGAAUGAUGAGAUUUCCCCUUAACAGGGCAAGGAACAGUUCCCUGCUGUUGUCCACUGUUCUCUACGGAUUUUGCAGUCAAAGUGCUCUGCUCCUCAUCCUCCAUCCCCUGUCCUCCCUCCCCUUCCUGGCUACCCCCACCCCUCCAUCUUGUCCCUCCUCCUUGCCUAGUUUAAUGAGAUCUUUCCAGACCUCCAUUAUGAGCAAACCAGCUCUGGGAUUUUCUAAGUCUCCAAACCACCUAUACAAUGACUACUUCAUAUUUUAAUUCAGGUUACUUUUUUAAAUUUAAUUAAUUAAUAAGUUAAUUUAGAAAGGAAUUCUAUUCACCAUCACACAUGGA
rnacentral:lncRNA from 1 species